GACGAACGCUGGCGGCGUGCUUAACACAUGCAAGUCGAACGGAAAGGCCUGCUUUCCCUUGUGGAUUGCGGGUACUCGAGUGGCGAACGGGUGAGUAACACGUGAGUGAUCUGCCCCCAACUUGGGUAUAAGCCUGGGAAACUGGGUCUAAUUCCCGAUAGGACUGCAGGGUGGUGCCUGUGGUGGAAAACGAUUUUCUAGUGGUUGGGGAUGAGCUCGCGGCCUAUCAGCUUGUUGGUGGGGUAAUGGCCUACCGAGGCGGCGACGGGUAGCCGGCCUGAGAGGGUGGACGGCCACAUUGGGGCUGAGAUACGGCCCAGACUCCUACGGGAGGCAGCAGUGGGGAAUAUUGCACAAUGGGCGGAAGCCUGAUGCAGCGACGCCGCGUGGGGGAUGACGGCCUUCGGGUUGUAAACUCCUUUCGACCGCGAGGAAGCCACCUGGUUGGAAGGGUGGUGACGGUAGUGGUAGAAGAAGCACCGGCUAACUACGUG
rnacentral:rRNA from 1 species